GUCACCUACUUGCAAUGCUACUUUUCUUUUUCGAGAUUUGGAUCUAAAGAUGUCUGCAGAUUUCGAUGAAGUCGCACAUGCAUCUGACCUCUAUGGAUAUCCACAUGAGAUUGAUGUAGAUUAGGAGCAUCCGAGAUCACCGAGGUGUUAGUUUUCUUUUAGAUCUCGCUCCUUUGACUUAGAUCUAAUCUCUUUCUUUGAC
rnacentral:lncRNA from 1 species